rnacentral:siRNA from 1 species
UAGAGGAAGCCUUUUGGGACC